UUUAUUUGUUUUAUUUCUUAAGAUUCUGUUUCUAAAUCCCAGACCUGUCUGAGGGUAUUUAGGGUGAAUCCCUGCCAAGUGAGGAGAGGUCUGCUGAGCUGGGCGUGGUCCUGGCUCCAGGCCCCGGUCAUUCCAGUGCACUCAGGUCUUGGGUAUCCACGCCUCUGGCCCAGCCAGCCUAGUCAGCCCGCGGCCCGGCGAGCUCUGCAGUCCUCCUGUCCCAGGCUCCCUAGGUCUCCAGGUACUCAAACAGCCCUUCGGUUUUGGGCAUGAGGCCCAGGUGGACCAGGACUCGAACCAGGAAGGCGGUGAGCCGCAUCGACAAGGUCUCCAGCCUGGGAUGGUGGGUCAUGGCAUUGUAGGAUGGUGGGGAGUGGGCCCUGGCCCCCUGCCUGCUGGCCCCCGGCCCACUGGCUCACCUCAGGGCCACUUCAAACUUGAAGGUCUCCCACACGACCCUGAUGUGGCGCAGAACACUGGCACCGUA